UAGAAAAAGACUCGGAUCUAUGGAAAAGAGGCUGCCGAGAUCGCUAUUCCAUUUGCAAGCAACCAAGGUAUGCCAGGAUCUGUCACCUGAGGAACAAUCCGAGUCAUGCUUUUGUUCAGGUGCGAUGUCGCAGGACUUGUGGACUUUGCUAAUGAGGUAAACCGUGAGUUCGUCUCAAGACAGGAGAGCCUUGGCGUCAAUUUAUGAACGGUUGAAAUGUAGUCAGCACUUUGCGUAGCCAUUUGGCUAAAAAGAAUAGUUAUUAACUAGAACAUUUCUUUGCGUUGUUUUAGGAAAACUAGUCUCAAAUGAAAUAAAAUACAUUAGUAUUUGCUUCGCCCUAA